CCCUUAGAUGUCCUGGGCCGCACGCGCGCUACACUGAGUGUCUGAGAUACGAGUCUGCCUGGUCCGGCAAGGUCUAGGUAAUCGCUAAAAGACACAUCAUGCUUGGGAUAGAUUAUUGCAAAUAUUAAUCUUGAACGAGGAAUUCCUAGUAAGCGCAAGUCAACAGCUUGCGUUGAUUACGUCCCUGCCCUUUGUACACUCCGCCCGUCGCUACUACUGAUUGGAUGUUUAAGCGAGGUUCUCGAACUGCUAGCGACUUAGCUUCGGUGAGGUCGCAGUGUGGGAAGUGAACCUAGCUUUGGUGUCUAGAGGAAGUAAAAGUCGUAACA
rnacentral:rRNA from 1 species